rnacentral:rRNA from 1 species
UUGACCUCAAAUCAGGUAGGACUACCCGCUGAACUUAAGCAUAUCAAUAAGCGGAGGAAAAGAAACUAACAAGGAUUCCCCUAGUAACUGCGAGUGAAGAGGGAAGAGCUCAAAUUUAAAAUCUGGCAGUGUUUUGCUGUCCGAGUUGUAAUCUAGAGAAGUGCUGCCCGUGCUGGACCGUGUACAAGUCUCCUGGAAUGGAGCGUCACAGAGGGUGAGAAUCCCGUCUUUGACAUGGACUGCCAGUGCAUUGUGGUGUGCUCUCAAAGAGUCGAGUUGUUUGGGAAUGCAGCUCUAAAUGGGUGGUAAACUCCAUCUAAA